UGAGGAAUAUGGUCAAUGGCCGGAAGGCUGAACCAGCCAAGCCGCGUGAAGGACGAAGGUGCCAAGCAUUGUAAACUUCUUUUGUCAAGGGACAAAAUCAGGCUCGAGAGCCUGACCGAGGGUACUUGAAGAAAAAGCAUCGGCUAACUCCGUGCC
rnacentral:rRNA from 1 species